AUGCACGCUGGCGGCGUGCCUAAUCCCUGCCAGUCGCGCGAACAGACGAGGAGCUUGCUCCUCUGACGUUAGCGGCGGCCGGGUGAGUAACACGUGGAUAACCUACCUAUAAGACUGGGAUAACUUCGGGAAACCGGAGCUAAUACCGGAUAAUAUAUUUAACCGCUUGGUUCGAUAGUGAAAGUCGGUUUUGUUGUCAUUUAUAGAUGGAUCCGCGCCGCAUUAGCUAGUUGGUAAGGUAACGGCUUACCAAGGCAACGAUGCGUAGCCGACCUGAGAGGGUGAUCGGCCGCACUGGAACUGGGACACGGUCCAGACGCCUACGGGAGGCAGCAGUAGGGAAUCUUCCGCAAUGGGCGAGAGCUUGACGGAGCAGGGCCGCGUGAGUGAUGAAGGUCUUCGGAUCGUAAAACUCUGUUAUUAGGGAAGAACAGAUGUGUAAGUAACUAUGCACGUCUUGACGGUACCUGGUCAGAAAGCCACGGCUAACUACGUG
rnacentral:rRNA from 1 species